CAAUAGCGUAUAUUAAAGUUGUUGCGGUUAAAAAGCUCGUAGUUGGAUUUCUGCUGAGAACGACCGGUCCGCCCUUUGGGUGUGUAACUGGCUCUUUCUUGGCAUCUUCUUGGUGAACGUUGCUGCACUUGACUGUGUGGAGCGCUACCCAGGACUUUUACUUUGAGGAAAUUAGAGUGUUUCAAGCAGGCAUACGCCUUGAAUACAUUAGCAUGGAAUAAUAAGAUAGGACCUCGGUUCUAUUUUGUUGGUUUCUAGAGCUGAGGUAAUGAUUAAUAGGGAUAGUUGGGGGCAUUCGUAUUUAACCGUCAGAGGUGAAAUUCUUGGAUUUGUUAAAGACGGACUACUGCGUAAGCAUUUGCCAAGGAUGUUUUCAUUGA
rnacentral:rRNA from 1 species